rnacentral:rRNA from 1 species
CAGCAGCCGCGGUAAUACGUAGGUGGCAAGCGUUAUCCGGAAUUAUUGGGCGUAAAGCGCGUGUAGGCGGUUUUUUAAGUCUGAUGUGAAAGCCCACGGCUCAACCGUGGAGGGUCAUUGGAAACUGGAAAACUUGAGUGCAGAAGAGGAAAGUGGAAUUCCAUGUGUAGCGGUGGAAUGCGCAGAGAUAUGGAGGAACACCAGUGGCGAAGGCGACUUUCUGGUCUGUAACUGACGCUGAUGUGCGAAAGCGUGGGGAUCAAACAGGAUUAGAUACCCCAGUAGUCCCUGUCUCUUAUAC